CAGACUAUAACGACUUUGACGCGCCGACGCAACCGACCCGUCUCCUCGUUCAUCUUCGUUUCUUUGGUGACUUCUCCGGUCCUCCUCAUUCCCUCCCGUCCCUCUCGUCUUCAUCCCUCCAUCCCUAUCCAUCGUCCGAUUCGUUCCGUCUUGGUAGCUCCUCCACCGCCAUAAACAUCCGAGCCGGUCGGAUUUCCCUGGAGCGGGUACGAUUCCGGCGCCCUCUUGCGGCUUCAUGCCCCCUCCUCUUAUCUUUUGGGGGUUAAAUCCGUGUCGGAGUGAUCCAGAUACCGAGCCUCAAAGCCGCAGGGUUCUUGCCGGGAGUGAACUACGUUUCUUGGUUUUCCGAGGUGAUUGGUGAUUAGGGUUAUUGGAUAAACUCUGAUUUGGGUGUUUCGGGCUUCGACGGUCAUCCGAGGGCUCGGUGCCUCAUGAUUAAGCAGCUGGAGUCGCGAGGUCAGAUCACCACCAUACGUGCUAGUCACGAAAACACCAGAUACCGCGCUCCCAAUUAUCGCGGGUUCUUGGAUGUUCUUGCUUUCUUGGAUCUGGUCGUGAUCCUUUAAAGAAAUUGCGCGCAGGAAGUUCUUUCUUCAUUUUCGUCACCUCGAAUCGGCUCUUCUCACUUGUACUCUUGACUUUGUACCAUCUCACAUUGAUUGGAAUAGUACUUCAUACAAACACUGGAGACGUGAGCUCAGACCACCAUCAUAGGUGCUAGUCGGGUAAAACACCAGAUACUGCGCUACCAAUUAUCACUGUUUCUUUGAUGCUCUUGUUUUCUUGGAUCUGGUCGUGAUCCUUUAAAGAAAUUGCAUGUAUGUAACACUGCAAGGGAAGAUGCACAUUCCUGUUUAUGCACAAGCAGAUGUGGUUAACGAUGGCCGUCGAUCAUCAAGUGAACUUGUGGCACCUGAUGGUAAAUCAUCUAGCACAGGCUACAUGAUUGAAAAUGGUGAUGUUGGUCCUUUGGCUCAGACAUCUGAUUCUUUAAUCAGGCAUCAAUUUCAAAAUCAUCCUGGUCCUGGUAAAAGAGAUGAGUUAAAGAACCACUUAUUGGAUCCAGAAAUCAUGGAACUUUACUACAGAUCCCGCCAGCAAGAAGAAGAGAUCCUGCUUCUCCGUCAACAAAUCACCAAUGCAUGUAUCAAAGAGCUACAGUUAUUAAAUGAGAAGCAUAUUUUGGAGAGAAGGCUUUCUGAAUUGCAGAUAGCUCUUGAUGAGAGGCAGGAUGAUGCUGUAGCUAGUGCCUUGAAAGAAUUGACUAAAAAGAGAAGCUAUCUUGAUGAAAACUUAAGAUUGACUGAUAAUCUUAAGGUUGUAGAGGAAGAGAUGUAUAUAUUAACUUCUUCAUUCCUAAGUUUAUUAGCUGAAUAUGACAUCCGACCCCCUGUUAUCAGUUCUUCUGCAAUUUCCUACGGUAUAAAGCAAUUGUACCAGAGUAUGCAUUGGAAGAUUAGAUAUAAUGAAUCAGUUAUACCUGAGCUUCGUCUAUAUGAUCAACAUCCUAUGGAUUUGCAUGGCACAUCAACAGCUAAUCAGUUGAGAGUCUCUCAAGACUUUGCAAAGAUAGAUAAAAAGGAUGUAGAUGUUACUCUAAACUCUGAGAUGCCUUAUCCAGUUGCUUAUGAGAAGCCAAGAGAUCUGCCAUCAGAAUUUCAUAAGGAGGUUGGUAAUACUGGUGUUUCCAGCUCUUCUGAAGGUUAUGCUCAUAAGGCCACAUUUAGUACUUUAAAUGCUGAUGCCCAAUUUCAUAUGGCUGCCAUGCACGAUAACCAAGGGUCCUUUGUUUUGGAAGCAGGUGAAUAUGACUUACCUGGUAUUGAAGGGUUUCAAAUAUAUGGUGAGCCUAAACCAGGAUGCAAGUUACAAGCCUGUGGAUAUCCAACAAAUGGUACUACUCUUUGCAUCUUUCAGUGGGUUCGUGAACUUGAUAAUGGCACUAGGCAGUAUAUAGAAGGAGUCAAUGUUCCGGAAUAUGUGGUAACUGCUGAUGAUGUUGAUACUAUUCUUGCUGUAGAAUGCACACCCAUCGACAACAAUGACCAUCAGGGUGAUUUGGUGAGGCAAUUUGCCAACAAUCAAAACAAGAUAACGUGCGAUUCCGAGAUGCAGAAUCAGAUUGAUGCCUAUAUAUCUGCUGGGAAGGCAAUAUUUAACAUUAAAGCAUUGGUGGAUUCCUCCAACUGGCAGCAAACAGUUCUUGUUGUGAAACGAUCCAUCUAUCAGAUUAAGGUGAAACAUUCUGAUGAUUUGGUAUUGGGAGAAAAAUAUUCACCUGAUUUAAAAGUAAGAUCAAAGUUCCUCUUGGGUACACAACCCAGUUUGUGUUGACUUGUUCAGAUGGAACCAAUCUCCCACUUAGCACAGAUGGAACUUGUCAGCCGUAUAGCCUGGAGAAUGACGUUCGGUUACGGGAUAUCAUCGUGUUGACCAUGAGACACUUCCAGUCUAAGUUUUCUGCAGGUCCUAGAUAUUAAAAGAAAAGUGAAGGCCUAGACAUCAUCUUAACAGUUUUGAGGCAAUUGUACCAUUAUUUUUUGUUUUUUAUUUAAAUCACGACAUAUUUUUGCCUUUGAGUUCCAGCGAUUCUUCCUCUGUUCUUAUAGAUUCAAGUGAUAAUUGCGUACCGUCGACAAAGAAUGCUGGUAAAUAUAAUAAAUUCUAGUUUUGGUA